rnacentral:rRNA from 1 species
AUUGAACGCUGGCGGCAUGCCUAACACAUGCAAGUCGAACGAGUGGCGGACGGGUGAGUAAUGUCUGGGCAACUGCCUGAUGGAGGGGGAUAACUACUGGAAACGGUAGCUAAUACCGCAUACCAUCGGAUGUGCCCAGAUGUGAUUGGCUAGUAGGUGGGGUAACGGCUCACCUAGGCGACGAUCCCUAGCUGGUCUGCGAGGAUGACCAGCCAAACGGGAACUGAGACACGGUCAAGACUCCUACGGGAGGAAGCAGUGGGGAAUAUUGGACAAGGGGGGCAAGCCUGAUGCAGCCAUGCGGCGUGUAUGAAGAGGGCCUUCGGGUUGUAAAGUACUUUAAGCGGGGAGGCGGUACCCGCAGAAGAAGCACCGGCUAACUCCGUGCCAGCAGCCGCGGUAAUAC